CGGUUGACCUCGGAUCAGGUAGGGAUACCCGCUGAACUUAAGCAUAUCAAUAAGCGGAGGAAAAGAAACCAACCGGGAUUGCCCCAGUAACGGCGAGUGAAGCGGCAACAGCUCAAAUUUGAAAUCUGGCUCAUCGGAGUCCGAGUUGUAAUUUGCAGAGGGUGUUUCGGGCGCGAGGCCGGUCUAAGUCCCUUGGAACAGGGCGUCAAAGAGGGUGAGAAUCCCGUCUGCGACUCGGCCAUCAACCCCGGGUGAAACCCCUUCGACGAGUCGAGUUGUUUGGGAAUGCAGCUCAAAAUGGGUGGUAAAUUUCAUCUAAAGCUAAAUACCGGCCGGAGACCGAUAGCGCACAAGUAGAGUGAUCGAAAGAUGAAAAGCACUUUGGAAAGAGAGUUAAACAGUACGUGAAAUUGUUGAAAGGGAAGCGCUUGCGACCAGACCUGUCCCCGGGCGAUCAUCCGUCAUUCGUGGCGGUGUACGCGCCCGGACGCAGGCCAGCAUCGGUUCGAGCGGCGGGACAAUGGGCUCGGGAAUGUAGCUUCCUUCGGGGAGCCUUAUAGCCCGGGUCGUCAUGCCGCCCGCCCGGACCGAGGACCGCGCUUCGGCUAGGAUGCUGGCGUAAUGGUCGCAAGCGACCCGUCUUGAAACACGGACCAAGGAGUCUACCAUCUAUGCGAGUGUUUGGGUGUCAAACCCGGGCGCGGAAUGAAAGUGAACGGAGGUGAGACCCCUUAACCGGGCGCAUCAUCGACCGAUCCAGAUGUUUUCGGAUGGAUUUGAGUACGAGCAUGGCUGGUGGGACCCGAAAGAUGGUGAACUAUGCUCGAAUAGGGUGAAGCCAGAGGAAACUCUGGUGGAGGCUCGC
rnacentral:rRNA from 1 species